CCAAGUAAAACCAACAUAUUUAAAGUGAAAAUUAAUUAAACAGCAGUUUCUUCUCCCAUUGUUCCAGGCACAGUUCUUCGGAGGGUUGAUCGGAGGGCAAGCUGCUGGAAGGUAGGACCCUGUCUGCCCCGGGGUCACGGGGAUGGCGGUCGAGGUCACGAGGGCCAUCUGAACACCCGACCCGGGGAAACGCAACAGGCCCACAGCCUCCAGGGAAGGACCAGCAUUGACCCAGCUUUCAACCCCACACCUGACAGGUGACUGGAGAGAAGUCUGCACUGAGGCAGCUCGGUACCAAAUAACAGGUCAGUAUUCUUACUCGUUUCAUUUCCUGAUUGGGACUGAAAAUGACUUGGUCAUAGCGAGAAAGACGGUGUUAAAACAUGAAUCACUCGGUGGACCGAACACGCAAGGCUGGCUCCUAUCACCGGCCACUAGACACCAGCUCUGUCCACCCAAAUGAACCCAGGAUCAGACGUGGCCUCUGCCUCAAUGGACUCAGAACCG